AGGACUAAGCAAAAACAAUGGAAGAACAAUAUUUUUUACACAACCACCAUGCAGCUCUUGUCAGUCGAGUUACUUCUGUGUUGCCCAUCGCUGAUAAGCUGUUUCAAAGAAAUAUGCUUUCCCAGGAGGUGUACUCAGAGAUCAAAGCCAAAUGUACAAAUCAAGACAAAAUGAGACUGCUCUUGUCUGUUGUGAUAUCUGGAGGACCUGAAGUAAAUUCAUACUUUUUCAAUGUGCUGGAUUAUUAUGAGCCUUUCCUCGUAAAAGACCUCGAAGAAUCUUACUCAGGAUCCUUCCCAAAAUCAGAACACUACACAGAAAGUUGGCCAAUAAUCUGCCUACGCCAACUUGAGGCUCUCAGGUGGAACCAAUCCUCUGAAGUGCACAGAAGUAAAUUAGAGGAGUUCCGGAGAGAACUAAACCACACAAAAAAAGGCAAUAUCUACUUUUGUAGAGAUGCGA